UACGUAGGGUGCGAGCGUUAAUCGGAAUUACUGGGCGUAAAGCGUGCGCAGGCGGUUUUGUAAGCCAGAUGUGAAAUCCCCGGGCUUAACCUGGGAAUGGCAUUUGGGACUGCAAGGCUCGAGUGCGGCAGAGGAGACUGGAAUUCCUGGUGUAGCAGUGAAAUGCGUAGAUAUCAGGAGGAAUACCGAUGGCGAAGGCAGGUCUCUGGGCUGACACUGACGCCCAUGCACGAAAGCGUGGGGAGCAAACAGG
rnacentral:rRNA from 1 species